ACCCAAUGCCUCAUCAGAUAAUUCGAAAUAUUAAUUUGACACCUAGUGUCUCAUCGAUUAAACUGAAGUAAAUUGGCACCCAGUGCCUCAUCGAAUUAAUUCAAAGUAGUAAAUUGACACCCAGUGUCUCAUCAACUCGAAGUCAAAGAAAUCCCUGAACUCUUCUAAUCUUAUGGCAUGCCAUCUAUAUCAGACUCAGCCCGAUACAAUUAAUAGGGUUUUAAAUUUACUUUUCAAAUACAACCAAUAUUCAAUUCAAUUCAAAUAAUCAAUAUAUUCAAUAUAUAUACCAAUUCAAUCAAUAUAAAUUUAAUAAAUUCAUCACAUAUUAAAUCAAUCCAUUUCAAUUGCAAAACACAAUAAUUCUCACCUCAACACUUACCAUAUACAUUAAAUUAAAAAUACAACAAUUAAUAACUAGUUUCGGAUUAUAGAAAUACAAACCAGGAAUUCCGAACUAUUCCACGUCGACUUUAUCUUUCCCCUUUUUAGUUUAGGAUUCUGGUAUGACGUUAGCUACGGAAUUAAAACAAUUAAAAUUCAUCACUAUAAUACAAUUCAAUUUCAUAUUGCAUAUUUCAAUUUUUACUCAACAUUUGUCUAGAUUCCAAUUUAGUCCAUAAACCGAGACUAAUUUAUUUCUUAACAAUCAAUUAUAUAUUUUUAUUCAAUUUCCACUUUAAAAUAGAUUUAACUCUUUAAUUUCACUUAAAUCCCUAAAUUUUUAAAUUUUCACAAUUUAGUCCCUAUUACUCAAAAUUUACAAUGUAUUCUACAAUCCAAUCCUUUUUCACUUCUAACUUAAAAAUCUAUCAAUUUAAUCCCUAAUAAUAAAAUUAUUCAACAUUAACAACAUUUAAAAACUUAAUAAUUUCUAAAAUUUUGACAUGGGUCAGGUAGUAUUUAAUAUCGGGAUUCCAAAAACAUAAAAAUUACAAAAAAAGGAUUAAAUUGACUAACCAAUUAAAUUUGGAACUUUUAAAACCUUAAGGCCCUUCGUCUGUUUCUUUCUCCUUUUUUUUUCGUUUUGCUUCUCUGUUUCGUUUCUACCUUUCUAUUUCUUUUUCUUUCUUUCUUUCUUUUUGUUUGUUUUAUUAUUAUAAUAUAUAAUAUAUAUACUUAUAUAUUAAGUAAACUUAUUUUAAUAUAAUAUAUAUUAAAUUCACAUAUAUUUAACUUAUGCCGCCUCACCUAAAGAAAAAUGACAUAAUUUUGUGAAACUUUAGGGGUAAAAAUGUAGUUUUUCCAAAGUAUGAUUUUUGGACUAAAUUGAAUAAUGAGAGUGUUAAACAAGUUAAAUAUGUUAUUAUAAAUCAAGAAAGACGAGAAAUUGACUUUGAUCAGUGAGAAAGAAAAGUGAGAAAAAGUGAAAUUAUGAAAAAGUACAUUUAGCAACAAACAGUUUAGACAGCAACAGUUGUGUGACUUUGAAAAAUCACCAAAAAUGGUGAAAAUUUAAUUAUAGGCUGAAUAAUGUAUGAAAUUAAAACUUAAUGAGUCUAUUUUUACAUAAAAGAGACAGAGAAAGCAAAAGAAUUUUAUAUUAUGAGAUAUUUGAAUUUUAGUGAGACAGGGCUAGAAUGAUUUCGAAAUCUCAUGUUCUGACUUUGGAAAAUCAUUAAAAAUUGUAAAUUAAUAAUAAUGGGAUAAAAUUUAUAUGUUUAGAACCCUGAAUGAGUUUAUUUUCAAAAGAAACAAACGAUAACAUUAUCUGAAUUCUGUACUAUGAAAUAAUUAAUUUUUAGUGAAGAAGGGUCAGACCUGUUGAGCAGUGAAACAGGGGAACUUUAAAGAAUAAACUGCACUUAUUGGCUAAGCCAAAAAUUAUAAAAAAUUUAUGGUAAUAAAAUAUGUGAGUCUAGUUUUAGGUAAAAUUAUCGGAUCUUAAUUUGGAGCUUGGUAGCUCGAGAUAUAAAUAAAUUAGUGACUCUGACUCUGACUCUGACAAACAGUUUGAAUUUACAUACAAGAAAAUAGUGAAAGUAUGGAUAAUGUUAUUUAAGUGUGUUAUACACAUUAAGGAUGUGGAAUGGAGAGUAGGAGGAGGAAAAUUGGAAAAUAUAUGAAUGAUUUGUGUAUAAUUGGCCAUAUGCUUGAUUAUGAUUGAUAAACGAUGAAAUAGAAAUAAUGCUUAUGUUUGUGCAUGAUUGGUCAUGGUUUAACCUCAUGUGGGAAAAUAAAGUUUUAUUGUAUGUGUGUAUGGUAUAUUUGGAAUAUGAUUUGGCUUGAAGUAAUGUCAUGAAUGGUUUAUGAAUUAACACAUGUUGGUAAGUUUGAUACAUGAACAAAUGUUGUUUUCAUCCAUGCUUAUAAUGCUUAUGCUAUAUGUUUAUUUGGGUUCACAUAUUUGGUGUACAUGCUUAGGCUUUGGCCAAGUUGUGGUUGGAUUAUGCCAUGUUAAAAUUAUAAGUUAUGCAUUGAGAUGGUAAGUGCCUAAAUGGAAAUAUGCUUGUGAUCAUGACAGGGGUGGUAAGGUUUAAAUUAUGUAAUCUUUAGUGAAAUGGUUUAUCAUGUGGUUAGUUCCAAAAAGAAUUAUGUUUAAAUGCAUUAACUUGCGACUAUGGUUGAAUGAUAUGUUUAUGUCUUGUGUGAUAUGUAUAGGAAACGGGUGUGGAAAGGUAAUGAAAUAGUAAGUUCAUAUUUGAAGCGAAAAAUGACGAAAAAAGGGAUGAUGAGUUUAAUUGAUGUUGUUAUUUAAGCUAAAGUGAUAUUUUCAUUGCAAAAUUGAGAAUUUCAUAAAUGUGUUAAUGAAUGAUAUAGUCGAUAAAUGUUGAGUUAAAUGGUAAAUAUGUAUUAGUAUUGAACUUACUAAUAUUGAAUUGUACGUGAAUUAAAUGGAAAUUGCUAGUGAUAGGAUUUGAAUUGUGAGCAUGAAUAAAUUGUGAAUUGAAUAAAAAGAAAUGAAGCAUUGAAUUGCAUGAGUAUGUAUCGGGUCUCGUAGGCCCUAUUUAUUAUGAUUAUAAUAUAUUGAGGAUAUAUUGUGAAGAAUUAUAAAAGUAUGUUAAUAAUUUGAAAGUUUUAAUUUAGAUGAAAUUUUAUAACUCGGUUCAGUACGUUUACAAGUGUAUGUGUUCUGGUAAUGCCUCGUACCCUAUUUUGGUGUUGAAUACGGGUAAGGGGUGUUACAAAAAAAAUAUUUACGAGUCUAAUUUACGGGAACGGAGUCCCAGGAAUGCACUUUUUUUAGUUUGAUCAUUUUUAAUUAAUUAACCAUCGAAACGUUAAAAUUUUUUAACGAAACUUUAAUACCACCUUAAUGACACUCCGUAAAUAUUUAUAAAAAUAUUUAUGGCUCAGUUUAUAAAAACAAGGUCCCUAUACCUCAUUUUCUAAAACCACUUGAACUUAAUAAAUCACUUAUAUAACAUAAAUUAUCAAAUCAAAAACUUUUUUUUAAAUCACAUUUUACUCGUAAAUACUAAAUAAUAAUAUUUACGAACUUACUUGUCGAAUUUAUUUGCCCCAAAACCACUAUUUUUGACACCAUUGAAAAAUGAGCUGUUAAACGGUAUGUCCGCAACAUAUGCAGGACCACUACCUUUUCAGGAAACAGAACCUUGUAUCCAAUCGAAUUUCAUUCAUUCAAACGUGAUUUAACAUUUAUCGGGUAUUUUCCGGAUAUAUGAUUAGAUUUCAUAUACAAAUCAUUCAAAUCAAUUCGAACAUAUAAUUACACAAUUAAGUUACACGAACUUACCUCGACAAUGUUCAUGAGUCGUAAUCUACCAAUCCGUUACUUUUCUUUACCUCGAUCUAGCUCCGUAUUUUGUCUUUUCGGAUCUAUACGAGUAAAUUAACUCAAUUUAAUACAAUUUCAUACUCAUUUCAAUCCAAUUUACAUCUUAGGAAAAAGUACCAUUUUGCCCCUAUACUUUUGAUUCAUUCCAAUUUCAUCCCUAGGCUCGAUAAAUGAAAUUCAUGCAAUUUAAUCCUUAUUCCAAGAUCAGUCAAAUUUUACAUGUAUCAAUAGCAGCCCAUGUAUUUCACAAAAAUUAGAAUUUUUCCAUGAAUUUUACUUUUUUACAAUUUAGUCCCUAAAUCACAUUUUCAUCAAAAUUCCUUUAAGAAAAGUUGUUUACCUAUCAACAACCUUUCAUUUUCUACCAUCAAAGUUCAUAAUUCAACUAUAUUCAUCCAUGGAAAAAUCCUAGAACUUUGAUAACUUUGCAAAUUAAUCCUCAAAAUAGCUUAAUUAUGCUAUUACAAUCUCAGAAACAUAAAAAUUACUAAAAACGGGACAAGAAUUCAUACCUAAUUAAGCCAAGAAAGCUUGAUUGAGAUAUUUUCUCUUAGCUAGGGUUUCCAUAAAAAAAUUUGGGAAAGGUGAUGAUAAAUGAUGAUAUUUUCUUUAUUUAAUCAUUUAUCAUCUUUUAAUAUCUUUUAUUUCCAAUUUCAUCCUUUUCUUUAAUUAAAUUUCCAUGAAUGAAUCAUCAUCCUUAUCUAUUAACUUCUCUUAAUGGUCUAUUUGUCAUAUAAGGACCUCAAACUUUGAAUUUCAUAGCUAUUUGAUACUUAUAGCUACUAGAACCCAACUUUUGCAUUUCAUGGAAUUUGGUCCUUUUAUCAAUUAAACAUGUAAUCGGUAAAAUUUUCUUAACAAAAUUUUCAUACGAUUUUCUUAUUAUAAUUUAGACCAUGAAAUAAAAUUAUAAUAAUUUUCUUUUCGUAUUCAAAUUUGUGGUCCCGAAACCACUGUUCUGAUUUCACUGAAAAUGGGUUGUUACACUAUUAAAGUGUUAGGGUUUUUCCAUGGAUGAGUACAGUUUAAUUAUGAAGUUUUAUGGUAGAAAAAUGAAAGAUUGUUGAUAGAUAAACAACUUUUCGAAAGAGAAUUUUGAUGAAAUUAUGAUUUAGGGACUGAAUUGAAAAAAUGAGAAAUUUAUGGAAAAUUUUUAAAUUUUGUUAAAUACAUGGGCUUCUAUGGAUAUGUAUGAAAAUUAAUUAGGCUUGAAAUAAGGAUUAAAUUGCAUGAAUUUCAUUUUUUGAGCUUAGAGAUAAUUGUAAUUAAUUAAAAGUAUAGGAGCAAAAUAGUAAUUUUGCCAAAGAUGUGUACUAGAUUGAAUUGAAUAUGAAUGAUAUUAAAUUGAGUUAAAUUCAUUCGUACAAAUCCGAAUAGACCUAAUACGGAGUUAGAUCGAGGAAAAGAAAAAGUAUUAGAUUAGUAGCCUACGAAAUUGUGAACAUUUGUCGAGGUAAGUUCAUGUAAUUAAAUUGUAUAUUUGUAUUAUUUGAAUUGAAUAUUGUUGUGUGUGUGAUUUUUAUAAAAAGCCAUAUAUAUUAUUGAUCACAUAUUCGACAAGUACAGAAUCCCGUUUGAACCUUAGACAUUCAAUGGAUACAAAUGAUAUGUCAUUAGGUUUCCGGAUUGGUUGUGGUCCUACAUGUGUUGCGGACACACCACAGCUCUUAUGAGCAUCCCGAUAUUUGGCUCUCACGAGCUUCCGAUUAAUGGCUCUUAUGAGCUUCCCGAUAUACAGCUCGAUUGAGCUUCCUGUUAUACAGCUCACAUGAGCUUCUCGUUACAUGGCUCAAAAGAGUUUCCCGUGUACAUGCUCGUAUAAGCAUACCUGUAUAUGAAUUGAUGGAUUACAUAUUUGUACACCUCGUUUGUAUUACCCGUGUAUCCAAUGAUAUUUUAAAUGGUUCAACGGGCUAAGUUUUGAUUUGAGAUAAUAUAAGUUUGAAACGAACUAUUACCCAUGUAUACAUGAAGUACAUAGAAAUGAUAUUACUUGAUAUACUGAAGCAUGAAAUGAUUGUUACAUGUAUGUGAAACUUGCUUGAUGACUUUGUUCAUCCAUGAUGAUGGGCUAUUAUAUGUGUUUAGGCUUUUGUCCAAGUUGAUUUGAAAUAUGUUUUGUAUGCUUACCUUAAAUGUAAUUGAAUGGUAAGUUAAGUUGUUAUACGAACUUACUAAGCGUAAAUGCUUACUCUAUUUUAUUUUCCCUGUUUUAUAGUAACUUGGAAGCUCGUUUUGGUUGGAAGUUGGUCAGAGGUGAUUCGCACUAUCCAUAGGCCUUUUUGGUACAUAUAGUAAACUAAUUUUGGUUAUAAUGGCAUGUAUAAGUUAAUUUGGCCAAUGUUGGCAUAAAAUUAUCUUGUUUAGACUAGCCAUUAGAGUGGCUUGUGUUUGAUAUAUUUUGAGAUGUAUAUAUAUGGCCUUAUCAUGAUUAAUGUGUGUUUGGUAUGGUUGAGUGAUGAAUAAUUUAUAGGCAUAUUGAAGAUUGGUUUGAGAUAGUAUGUUUGGUACAAAUUUGCAUAUAUGUGUAUUUUGUUAAUUUGGUAAGUUUGGAUACUUGGAUAUAUGUGUUGAAAUGUCAUGUAUAAAACUUGAUUUUGGCUUGAUUUGAAUGUCUUGUUAUGGUUUGUUGAUGUCAAAAAAUGUUGAGAUGGGUUGAUGACAAAUUGGGUGAGAAAUGUGGCUUGAAAAUGACUUAUUUUUGUCCACACGGGCAGAGACACAGGCGUGUGUCUCAGCCGUGUCAGGUGACACGGUCGUGUGUCCCCUGUAUCUUUUAAAUUUUGCAAGUCAGUAUGCUCACACGGCCUAGCACACAAGCGUGUGGUUUGGUCGUGUGACCUCAGUCAGAGAGUUACAAGGGCACGGACACGGCUGUGUGUCCCUAUUUCGAAUGCCUACACGGCCUGAGACACGGAUGUGUCUCUUGACCGUGUAAACGACACGGCUUAGCCACACGGACGUGUGUCCCCUGUACCUUUGAAAAAUUUUAAUAUUUUUCAAAAAAUUCUUUGAAUACCCGAAUUAGUCCUGACUUGUUUCUAAUGUAUGUUUUGGGCCUCGAGGGCUCACAUAAGGGAACAUUAUGCUUGAUUUCGAUUGGUUUUUGAUAUGAAUGCUAUAUGAUAUGAAAUAUCUAUUUAUUUGUUCUGUAAAUUUCGGUAAUGCUCUGUAACCCUGUUCCGGCGACGGAUACGGGUUAGGGGUGUUACAGAAUAGGCCAAGUAUGGGAGAUGAUUCAUCAAAGAAUGGUUUGGAAUAUUCAAACGGUGAAAAUUUUAAUUUUUGGAGGGAUGCAUGGAUGGUUGAUGUAACAGCCAGAUUUUUAGUGAUGUCAGAAAUAGUGGUUCGAGGCCCCUAAAUCUGCGAGUAAGUUUGUAAAUAUUAUUAUUUAAUAUUUACGAGUCAAAUAUGAUUUUUAAUAAAAAAGAUGCAUUCUCAAGACUUCGUUCCGGUAAAUCAGAUUCGUAAAUAUUUUUAAUAAAUAUGUACAAAGCUAGCUGUGUAGUUAAUUAUGUUUUGAUUAGGUGAGUUUGACUUAAUUAAGGUUAAUUAGAUAAAAGGACUAAAUUAAAUUGAUUGUGAAAGUUUAAUUAUGAAAUAAAAAAAUCAAGGGACUAAAUUAGUAAAUAAACCAAAAAUGUGACACUUGUGUGGUAAUAAUAAAAUACAUGUGUAAUAAAAUAUAUACAUACAUUUGUAAUAAUAUGUAUAAUUUACUUAUUAUUUAAGUAUAAGAUAUUUUAGAUUAAAAUAUUUUUAUAUUAUAUUAUUAUAUUACAUUAAUUAAUCAAAACAAAAUAAAGAAAUGAAAUAAAAAGAACAAAGGAAAGAAACAGAGAAGCAAAACGAAAACAGGGGAGAAAGGAAAGAAAAAGAAAAAAAGGGAAUGAAAGAAAGAAAAUUUGGGAUUUUAAGGUUCAAGGUUUGGUUGGUAAGCUAAUUUAGUCUAUUUUUUUAUAAUUUUGAUGUUUUUGGAAUCCCAGAACAAAAUACUAUUUGAUUUAAGUUGAAAAUUUGAAAGUUAGUAAAUUUUUAGAUGUUGUUCAUGUUGAAUUAAUUGAUGAAUUAGGGGUUAAAUUGAUUGAAUUUUUUAAAUUAGUUUAAAGUGGGAAUGGAAUGAAAAUAUGAAAUUAGUUUUCAGAAUAAAAGUUAGUCUUGGUUCAGCGACUAAAUUGGAAUUUUGACAAAUAUUGAGUAAAUAUUAAAAUAUUUAAUGUGAGAUUGAAUGGUGUUGUAUUGAUAUUUUUAAUUGUUUUAAUUCCGUAGCUUGCGACGUACUGGAAUUCUCGACUAAAAGGGGAAAAAAUAUAGUCGACGAGGAAUAAUUCAGAAAUCUUGUUUUGUAUUUCUAUAAUCCGAAUCUAAUUAUUAAUUGUUGUAUUUUGAUUAAAUGUUAUAGUAAGUGAUUGAGGUGAGAAUUAUUGUGGUUUACAAUUGAAAUGGAUUGUCUUGGUAUGUAAUGAAAUUAUAUUGGUUGAAUUGAAUUUGAAUAUAUAUAUUAUGAAUAUAUAUGUGUAAAUGUGAAAUUGUGCAAAUAUGAUAAUUGGAUUAUUAUAUAUAUAUAAAAUUCAGUUUUAAUGCCCAAGUAGACGGAAUUUAGAACUACUGGGAUAUUAGUGGCAUGUCAUUAAAGAACUUUAGCGCACUCUCUUAUUAUUAGCACGUUGGUGCUCUCUGAUUACUAGCACGACAGUGCUUUCCGUUUAGCACAUCUGUGCUCUCUGUUCAUUAGUGCAUAAUAAUGCACCUCUGUAUUUGUUCCGUAUAUCCGGUGUGUUCUAUAAAAUCUACUUUGGGAUAAGAAUAUGAGAUAGUAAACUGAAAAUAGAAUGUGAAAUAUGUUUUAAACACAUGGAAGACACGAGUUAUAUAUUCAUAAAUUGAUUGUGGAAUGGAUAGUGCCAUUGUUUAAAUGAUACGUGAAUAAAUGAUGGAAAUGUAUUACAUAUAGCAAGUGAUGACAAUUGAGUAUUGUGUGAUUUUAAAUGUUCAAUUGUGUUUAACAUUUUAUUAUACAUAUUUUAUUGUUUUAUUUUUUUAAAAAAAUUUGGAUUAUAGAAAUACCACUGAGUUUUUACUCAGCGUACGGUUUUGUUUUCCGUGCGCAGGUUAAGUACUUAAGUUUGAUCGCUGAUUCAGCAUCCAACAAUGAUCCCGAACUCAAAUAUGGUGAUGUUUAUUUCUUUGUGUCGGCAUGUACCUAGAGUGUCUAAAUAUUAGUUAUUUUGUAGUUUGAUUGUAAAUGAAGUUAUAAGAUCUAUUUUGGAGAGUUUAUAAUUUGGAUUAAAAUGAUGCUUUAAUGACUUGUUUUGAUGAUAUAAAAUAUUUGAGAUUUCUAUCUGUUUGAUCUAUAAUCUCCGGUAAUGUUCCAUAACCCAAUUCCGACGAGGGAUACAGGUUGAGGGUGUUACAGUUGACAUUAGACCACUAAUUGAUUAAUUGGGUUGAUAAGAGGAAUAGUGCCAGAAUCAUAUAUGGGUCAGUGGCUUCAAUGGUUACACCAAAUGGUGAUUGAAAUUGGAGUUUAUUGGAAAAUGCUUUACCAUGUAAUAUUUUGCUUAAAUUAGCAAUAAUGCUUUCGCCGGACAAGGGGGCAAUGUAGAUUAUUUGGCUUGGAGAUAGGAUGCUAAUAGGAGAUUCACUAUCAAAUUGACCUACUCAAUGGCGUCAAAUAAUUUAAUGGAAGGGUGCAAGAAUGGUGGAAACCAGUAUGGCAUUUCAGAGAACCCUAAAGAAUUCGAAUUUUCUUAUGAUUAAUGUGCUUGAAUAAAUUGUUAACAAACAAUGAAAAGAAGAAAAAGCAUAUGAUCAUUCAGGUGUGAUGUGUGCAAAAUCAAUUUAUUUUCUAAUAUAAUAUUAGAUAUAGAUGCAAUAUCUAUAAAAGAAACUAUAUAUUAAAUUUUAUGUUCAUAUAAAAAAUAAAUAUGAUAAGAACAUAGACCUAAAAAUUAAUAUAUAAUAAAUUAUAAAACAAUUUACUACAUUUAUUAUUAGUAUUUAACAACAAUGAAGGUAAAAAGAAAUUACUUAAUUAAUCUCUCGUACUAAUAGCAUCCUUGAAUUUAGUGCGUCGUGAUUAUGGGACAAAUCCAUCCAUCUUGGAUUGGAUAACCCCCCCCCCCCAACACAUCAACAAAAUUUGUUGGAAAAAGAUAAAAUGAAAAGUGGGCAUGGCAUGCAGUGCACGUGAUAUUUAAAAUGUUAAAUUUACUAACGUGGCGUAUAUUUAAACUAGAUCUCACGGUUAUCAACUCACCUCGUUUUCGCUUCCUACCAUUUUUAUUACAUUUUCACGAAUCUGUAAUUUUAACUAAUUUUCCUCCAUCUUCUUCAAUGAUUAUGUAAAAGCCUGCAAAAUCUCAGUUGUCCAGUACAAUGGCUACCCUCUCCUUUUCUCCCCUCAAACCAAACACGUUAUUUUCUUCUUUUCUGUUCCCUUCUAAAAACUUAUCCUCCCGACCAAUUAUCUAUACUCUUCCUCAUCGAAACACUCCUCCACUCACUUUCUCUGCUGCCAAACGCCCUCCCGCCGCAUCCGCAACCAAUUCAUCCUCUUCCGUUACCGUCGAAACCGUCUCUCCUGAAAAUGACGCCAACUCAACCGUUUUCGUCAUCCGUGCGCGUAACCGUACCGGUCUCCUCCAAGUUAUCACGCGCGUCUUCAAUAUCCUCGGUCUUAGCGUCGAGAAGGCCACCGUAGAUUUUGAAGAAGACUAUUUUGUCAUGACGUUCUUCGUAACCGAUUCCCGCGGCAACAAGAUCGAUGAUCAGAAGAGCUUGGAAAGUAUCAACAAGGCCUUGAUCGACGCAAUCGACGGUGACGAUGAUGCCGCCUUGUCUGUGGCUCCGCCAGAUAGAGGGGUCGUGGUAAGGAAGCCUCGGUUGGAUUUUGGGGAGAGGAAAGGCCAAGCUGAAAGGAUGCUUGGAUUGAUGGAUGUUUUCUUGAAGAACGACCCGAUCAGCUUACAAAAGGAUAUUUUACAUCACGUUGAGUACACGGUGGCUCGAUCGCGAUUUAGUUUCGAUGAUUUUGAAGCUUAUCAAGUAAGAUUAAAGUUUCGUUGUUGGGUUGAGAACGAAUUUUGACUUCCUUUUUAAAAAUUUGGCGGGAAUGUAUGGUAUAACUUAAGUGCGAUUGUUUAACAGGCUUUGGCGCACAGCGUAAGAGAUCGGUUGAUUGAACGUUGGCAUGAUACUCUGAUACAUUUCAAGAAGGAAGACCCAAAGCGAGUUUACUUUCUUUCGCUUGAGUUUCUUAUGGGUAUACUUUCUUACCGUUAUGAGCCUUAUAAUGUUUGGUCUAAUUAAAAUGAUGGAUAAGUUUAAGAGCUCUCGAGAAGUUUGGUUAUGCUUUCUGUUACUCUCCUAGCACCUAUAGUUUAUCAAAUCUAGAGGAUCUGACUUUGGUUUCUAUUACAAGUAGAACUAGUUUUUGAAUUCACAUGUUAUUCUGGAUUUUCUUCAGUGCUUUAAAUAUCAUUCAUGCUAAACAACUGUAUGCAAUUUAUAUUUUCAGGGCGUUCGUUGUCAAAUAUUGUCAUCAACCUUGGAAUUCGCGACCAAUUUGCAGAUGCUUUAAGCCAGCUUGGUUUUGAUUUUGAAGUUUUAGCUGAACAGGUUAACUUGACAUUCGAUUUUCUUCUGUCCUCCUUUAUUGUCCUAAUCUUAGAUUAUUAUUAUUAGCAUAUCACGAUCCGGAAAAGUAAUUGUUUGUUUGCGAGGAGAAUUGAAUACAUCAAGUAUAUUUAUUGGAGAUCAUGUUGUGUGGUAGUCGGAGAUUUGAAACUAGGUGAAUCCAAUGGAUGGCCAUAUUCUUGGGAACCUAGAGCCACAAAACUGUAUGAUGUUAAGGUGUGCUCGUCCUUUCGAAACAGCCUCUCCUUGGAAUUAGAGCUCGAGGGAGAUCUCUGUUUGAACAAGUUAAAACUGAAUUCUUAAUCAUGUUGGAAGAAAGCUUUUCUUAUAUAUAUAUUGUACACUCAGAUAAUUAUUUACUUUCCUCUUUAUCUUAUUCAUUAUGAUAUUCUAAGGAAGGAGAUGCUUGCCUGGGUAAUGGAGGCCUUGCUCGUCUUUCAGCAUGUCAAAUGGAUUCUCUAGCAACUUUGGACUACCCUGCAGUGGGGUAUGCCUCUAUUCUAUAUUUUUCUUGUAAGAUUUGUGGAAGCAUUUCAAGUUAAAAGUAAUACAUAUAAGUCUUCCAUUAAGUAGGGGUACUGAAUCAUUAUCCAUACUGGCUUUGAAACCAAAAUGGAUUAUGGACCGUGAAGUUGACUGCUUAUCUUCUAAUUAGUAUUAGCUUAUUUAUAAUCUAUGCUAGUUUUCCUUUUUCAAAAUCAUUUAGCGAAUUCUUGCAUCAAAAUCAUGUCAUUUAGUUCAUGCAUAACUUGUAUAUCCUCAAACGAGUAUUGGCUUUUAUGUUUAAUAAUCUAAUUCUAGGGGAUUGUUUCUGCAGCUAUGGAUUACGCUACCAGUAUGGGUUGUUCCGUCAAGUUAUAGUGGAUGGAUUUCAACAUGAACAGCCUGAUUAUUGGUUAAAUUUUGGAAACCCUUGGGAGAUUGAGCGAGUUCACAUAACAUAUCCUGUAAAGGUUUGUAAGCACUUAGAUGUGUUCAAUUAUCUGUGGGAAUAUUGGAUGUUUGACUUUAUCUUUCUAUUCUUUUGCAAUUCUGUAUUGUUUACUAAACUUCUGUUCACUAUGUUUUUGGAUGGUAAAGUUCUAUGGGACGGUCACAGAUGAAUUUUUGAAUGGAGAGAAAUGUAAAGUUUGGGUUCCUGGAGAAAUGGUAAGGCUGUAAUUCUUUUCAUAAAUUGAAGCCUAGACAUUUGCAUAAAACUCUUUAUCCAUUAUUUAUACUCAUGGGCGAUGCAUGAUUUAAAUGAGUGCUAAAUUUAAGUGAAUGUGGUUGGCUUUUUUUAGCUUAGCAAUAUCUUCAUAUUCGUAGGUUGAAGCUGUGGCAUAUGACAAUCCAAUACCUGGUUAUGGAACAAGGAAUACCAUUAAUCUUCGCCUUUGGGCUGCGAAACCAAGUGAUCAACAUGAUAUGGUAAUUUCGACAAAGUCCAAUCAGUUAUGCAUGAGUUCUAUGCACACUUAGGUGGAUUAAACUAAAGUACGAAGAUCUGGCACAUAAAACUAAUUCUUAUGAUCUAGAUUCGCUAGAAAUGCUAUAGUUGGACUGAGCUAACAAUGCUGAUUUGGUAGCUUAAAACAUAGUCAUAUAUGCAAUCAUGUGUUUUUUUCUGUACGGAUCUCUUCUAUAUCCUACCCAUCAAGCUCUGCUUAGACAGCGAGGGAUUUGGAAAUCUUUUUGAAUAAUUUCUUUCAAUUGUUUUGGCUUAAUUGUUUUGAAACAUGCUUAAUCCAACUGAAGUGAUAUCAGUUAUUUGCUGUUUCAAUGUGCUUGUUUCUUUUAUCUUUCUUUUCUUUUUUUUUUCUUUAUUUCACUAUUUGCAUUUUGGAGAAUUAUAUUUUGGUGAGAGCUUAUGUUAGUAAGGUUAGCAUCUAUCCUGUCUUGUAUAGUCUUUGAGGCAGGUAUUUGAUGUCGGUUCUAGAAAGAUUUGUUAAUUAGUAAGAAUUUUGUAUAUUUCAGGUAUUUUGUUACUUUUAGUUUUAGAGACUUUAAUUUUUUGUAGGUGUUAUUUUGGAAAAUUCUUUAAGAUUCUGAUUUUUGGUUUUGUAUGAUAUUUAUUGCCAUACAUGCUUAUGGAUUCUUGUUAGUAUGCGACCUUGUUAUGUCUCAAAUUCUUGGGUUUGGAGCAUGGCAAUGCAGGAGUCUUUUAACACUGGGGAUUAUGUUGAUGCUGUAGUCAAUAGACAGAGGGCAGAAAGUAUUAGUAGCAUACUAUACCCCGACGAUCGUUCUUAUCAGGUGUGAUUGCUUUUCCUUAACUUGAUUGGUUACAUCAAGAUUAGAGUCUGCCUCAUCAAUUUUUUCAUGCUUCGUCUUCUAAAGUUUUUACUGCAAUUGUUUGAUUUAUGGGAAAUUAAAGGUACUUAGUCGGAGAUUAUUAAUGUUGCAUUCACUGAAAACUUGGUUGAAAUGUUUGCUAGGGGUUGAACAAAUAUGUUUCUUUGUCUUUCUGUAGAUCUACAUUCAUAUUUCUUUUUGGUGGUUUCUUUCAGGGUAAAGAAUUGCGGUUGAAACAGCAAUAUUUCUUUGUAUCCGCGUCAGUACAAGACAUCUUCAGAAGAUUCAAAGACACUCAUAAAAAAUUUGAUGAGUUUCCAGAGAAGGUUCUUAGCUGCAUGUUUCAUGUGUCUAUUAGUGCAGAAGCAUAUGUAGAGACACCUCAAAUCGGAUUAGUUUGUACUGAUCUGAUCAUGUAGUGAGGUGACAUGCCUUGGUUCUACCCUCCUGAAUCUUGUGUAACAUAGCUGUUCUCAAGGUUCUCUCAGGUUCUCAAUGUCACAUCCUUAACAAUUGAUUUGCUUUCAGAUGAUGGCAGUUGUGAGAUUUGAGUGAGGAAUCUUUCUCUAUACUGAGAAGGAUUUCUUUCCACUUUUAUUAUCAUCCCUAGGUUGAGUGCUGACUGCUGCUUGACUCCUGUUCUGUCAACUCCAAUUGCAUUUUAUAUAGGUUGCACUGCAGCUGAAUGACACUCAUCCAUCUCUUGCAAUAGCUGAGGUGAUGAGAGUGCUUCUGGAUGAAGAGCAUUUAAGCUGGCAUAGAGCAUGGGACAUCAUAUGCAAAAUAUUUUCGUUCACAACUCAUACUGUAUCACCUGAAGGACUGGAGAAAAUUCCUGUGGAUCUACUGGGCAACCUUCUCCCUCGACAUUUGCAGGUGUGUUUUGUUUGAAUUUUGCAAUGUACUUUCUUCUUUGAUAAAGUUUACCCGUUUCUUUGAAUUACUUUAUGUGAUUGAAAGCCUAAGUAAUUCUACUGGACAAGAUUCAUCUUACAAUAUUCUUUCAUUUAUAUCUGAUGUCAUAUGGUAUAAGCUUCAUCUUAAUAAUUUUCUUAACUACAGCAUCGUGCCUCCAAGGUACAGAAGCAUGCAUGUGGUUAAUUAUUAUUUUCCGCAUAACUCUUUCCUGUAUUACCACACUCCUUUAGAUUGUAAUUUAUUAGUUUGAUUGGUUGUCAACUUGUUUCGUACUAUUUUAGAAAAUUGCUCUUUUCAGAUUAUAUAUGACAUAAACUUCAACUUUGUGGAAGAGUUAAAGAAGAUGAUUGGUUUAGAUUAUGAUCGGCUGACCAGGAUGUCAAUUGUUGAGGAAGGUGCUGUGAAGGUAUAUAUCUCAAAUUUUAUGGGUUUCUAAAAUUUAUAUUGUGUUGAUGGAUUGCUAGAAUGUUAUGAAAAUUGAAGUCCAUAACCAUCCCUUUUGUCAGAAUAUUCGAAUGGCAAAUCUAUCAGUUAUUUGUUCUCAUACCGUGAAUGGUGUCUCCAGAUUACAUUCAGAGUUGUUGAGAACAAAAUUAUUCAAGGUAAAACUUAUAUUUGUUUUUUCCUGCUUAAACGUUGCCUUUCCUUGUAACAAGUUUGAAAUAGAACUCAGCUUCGAUGAAUGUCUUUAAUUAGUUGAUCUUAGUUGUUGUCUAUUAAUGCUUUUCAGGACUUUUAUGACCUAUGGCCGCACAAGUUUCAAUACAAAACUAAUGGGGUGACACAGGUUUAAAAUAAGUAACAGUUUUUUCAGUACAUUAACUUACUGAUAGGUUAAGUUGUUUCCUACCUGUAAAUAAAUUUUAGACUUGUUACUGUGAUGCUGUGAUGCAUCUUGCCCUGAUAACUAAAAGUACGCGAAUAAUUUAAAUUCACCUGCUGUGUAGUUAUUUUGAUCUCUUAAUAUUUGGUUUCUCAGCGUCGCUGGAUUGUUGUUAGCAAUCCUAGUUUAUGCGCUCUUAUCUCAAAAUGGCUUGGAACAGAAGCUUGGAUCCGUGAUAUUGACCUUUUAAUAGGCUUGAGAGACUAUGCAACUAAUGCUGAAUUGCAUCAAGAAUGGAAGAUGGUACUUUCAUAGUUGGCAUGCUUCACCUUUGAAACAAAACAUAUCAUUGGCUAUCUCAUUCAUUUAUUGUUAACUAUUAUCUCAUAGGUUAAGAAGGUCAACAAAAUAAGGCUUGCCGAGUACAUUGAAGCGAUGAGUGGUUUGAAGGUUUUGAAGAAAGCUAUAGUUUUUGCACCUACAUUUCUUUUUCCAUUUUUAAGGAGCUCUGAAAUGAUGUAAUGUUGGUGUGCAUUAUUUGUAAUGGGCAGGUCAGCUUGGAUGCAAUGUUUGAUGUGCAGACAAAGCGAAUACAUGAAUAUAAGCGGCAGUUGCUUAAUAUACUUGGCAUUAUCCAUAGAUAUGAUUGCAUCAAGGUUAACACCAUCUUUGGCUGAAAGAGCCAUGAAAACUUGUGGAAUUUAUCAAAUGCUUCUUUUUAUAUGCGCCUUUUUGAAUUGUCCGUGUAGCAAACUAACAACAUAGGUUUAAGUUAUUACCAUCCUGUUGCUGGAUGUUUGCAAGACCAACAAUUCCUUACUCAUUGUAAUAUGAGUUGAUUAACCAUUUCCUUAACCAUCAUCUUUUUGGCUUUGCAUAAAGAUGUUUAAGUAUUAGAAAUUGUACAUAUUUUCGAACAUUGUAAAAUAAGUUAAAAGAAUGUGUAACUCAGAGGUAUCUUUGCUCAUGCUAUUCUCAUUUGGUGCAGAAUAUGGACAAGAAUGAUAGGAAAAAUGUUGUACCACGGGUCUGCAUAAUUGGAGGAAAAGCUGCUCCAGGAUAUGAAAUUGCAAAGAAGAUUAUAAAACUCUGUCAUGUUGUGGCUGAAAGAAUCAACAAUGAUAAUGAUAUUGGAGAUCUUUUAAAGUUGGUAAGCUAGUAUUUAUUUUAUCUAGAAGUUCAAUGGAACUCUGAAGCGUGUAUUGUUUACUCAGAAGGGUGAGUAAUUUACCCUUAAAACAGAUAUAAUCAGCAACCAUGAUGAUGAAUUAAAGCUGCAAGGACCUUUAUAUUUGUCUUCUAAUAACAAAUCUGUCUUUCUAAGUCAUUAAGUAUUAUUGCAGGUCUUUAUCCCUGAUUACAAUGUUUCUGUUGCUGAGAUGGUAAUACCAGGGGCUGACCUUUCUCAACAUCUAAGGUAGUAUGCAUAAGUUUUGCACAUUAGAUGAUAUUAUCAAUUUCGUUAGCAGUUACAUUAUGUUUUGUAGUGAUUGCUGAUUGGGAUUUUUCUGUGGUCAACUAUUGGCUUCACUUAUAUAGAUAGAUCUAUUUGUCACUCUAAAGUUGUAUGCCUCCAUUUUACCAUUAAUUUGGGUCGAAAUAUUUUGGAAUCUUUUAGUAUUAAUUGUCAUUAAGCUUAUGUAUGAGCAGUUCAGAAUCACUAGGUUGAUGGAAUAAUAUAAUAUAAUAUAAUAUCCAGGUGAUUAAUUGGGGCAGAAUUAGUCUCUCCACAUUCUGAGCCCCGUUUUCCAGAAUUAAAAAAAAAAAAACCUGCUUCCACUCAACUUGUCUACUUCUGAUGUAUACUUCUUUUACUUUCUGAUCCAGCACUGCAGGACAUGAGGCAUCAGGAACUGGCAGCAUGAAAUUCUUGAUGAACGGAUGUUUACUUUUAGCCACAGCAGACGGUUCUACAAUUGAAAUGGUUGAAGAAAUAGGUCAGGAUAACAUGGUAAGUGCUAAAUCAACAGUCAUACAAAUGAAUCAAGGUAAAAGUACCAUGAAGUCCUCUAUAUUAGGAGUCAGAUUGUAUUUUACCUCCUCUACUCAAGAAAUGAGCAAAUUAGUCACUCUACAUUAGAUCAAAGAGCAAACUGGUCCUUUUAUAGAAAAUUUCAUCCAUUUUUGCUGUUAAAAGUUGGUCUCUGUACGUUAGCAUGAGGUACACAUGGCAUGUCACAUGUCACUGUCUAGUUAUUUCAUCAAUCAUGCCAGUUUUUAAUAGUACAAAAGAAUGAAAUUUUUAAUAGAAAGGACCAAUUUGCUCUUUAAUCUAAUGUAUAGGGACUGGUUUGCCUAUUUUUUUAGUAGAGGAGGCGAAAUGCAAUCCAACUCUUAGUACAAGAGCCUCCAUGGUACUUUUACAAUGAAUUAACAAUAUUAGUUGGAGUAGAUUUUGAUAACAUUUCUUUCAGUUCCUGUUUGGAGCAAAAGCGCAUGAAGUUGUUGCAUUGCGCAAGAAAGGACCCACUCUUAAAGUUCCUCUUCAGUUUUCGCGUGUUGUAAGGUAUUAUACCCCUUCAUUCUACGUAAUGUAUAGCUUUAUCAGUACGUUGCAUCUUAGUUUCUCUGUAAAGGAGAGUAUAUGUAUCCUUGCUUUUCUUAUACAGAGGUAGAGUUGAUUUAGAUAUUAUUGGUUUAAAUUUCAAGUGAUUUGAGUGGCAUUGUGUAACUAUUAUAUGUAGGAUGAUCCGAGAUGGUCAUUUUGGAUUUGAAGACUAUUUCAAAUCUUUGUGCGACAAGAUAGAGGGCACGAGUGACUAUUUUCUUCUUGGUGCCGAUUUUAUGAGCUAUCUAGAGGCCCAGGUAAAUAGUUGGUUUUCCAUCAGUUAGAAAUAAGAAUGCCUUGUAAAAGGGAAUUGCAUUUUAAUUGUGGACUGUGUUGAGAUGAACAGGCAGCCGCCGAUAAAGCGUUCGUUGAUGAAGAGAGAUGGACAAAAAUGAGUAUACUUAGCGCAGCUGGCUCUGGGAGAUUUAGCAGUGAUAGGACAAUCCAAGAGUAUGCUGAAAACACUUGGGACAUUCAACCUUGCAGAUGUCCCUUUUGAUUUGGGAAGUGAGAGCUACUCGAAAUAGAAUGAAGCUCUCGCAAUGUCAUGUGCGGGGCUUCUCUAUUUAUUAAUAAAAUAAAACGAAUUGAAUCGAAUAAAAUUACAAUGAAUAAUAACAAUGUUUCUAAAACUAAUAAUAGAAAAUAAUCAAAGCAUUCAAAAAUAUUUGAGUUGGAGCUUGACAUAAAUAUUGUUGUUGAUAGGACCUUAUAAAUGUUUAUUUAAAAAAAUUCAGACGGAAACCUAUUGCAAACUUUUUUGCCCAUUUCAAACAAUUUUGAUUUUGGACGAAUUAUAAUAAUUUCUUCUCUUUUCCUUUACCAGAAAGAUAUACCUUGUCUUUUUCGUAAAUAGAAUUAACUUUAUUCAACUGAUUUUUGUUUGGUUGUUCAUACUUCAUGAAAUAACAAUUUUCUCCUGGAUUCUACAAGCUUCGAUUACCCGCCACUAUUUCUGUUUACUUCUUCCGAGAAGAAAAAAGGAGGAAAGAUAGAAAAAAAAAAAAAGGUUGUUUAGAAGAGGCAGUAAUGGCGGUUAAUAUGAUUCUCCUUCCCUCCAUUUUCAGUUUUUUCUUCUUCCUCUUCUUCUUCUUCUUCUUCUUGUCACUCACAUCUCAAGAUGAACAAAGUAACAACCACAAUCUCUUGAUCCUUGAAUUGCGCGACUCCAAGCUCAAGAUCUCUCGUUUGGGUAAAAUUUCUUUUUUAUUUCUUCAUUGAUAAAUAAAUACCUUACUUAGAGUUUCCAAACAAACACUGAUCUUAACCUCGAUUCCUUGACUAUUGUAAAAUAUGGAUGCAGAAUCUGUUCUUGAAGAAAGAAUUCAAAACCUUAAUGCUAAAACCCUUUCUGUUAAGGAACACGGGAAAUCCCUCGAGGACAUGGCAAACAAGAGCACUUAUCUGCAGUCUGCUCUAUUUGAUCUUAAGGUUCAAUUCUUUCCUAAGAAGCUUUGCUUUUGUUUUUAGCUUUGUUUUCAUUUGUAUGUUACUCGGGUUUAUUUGGAUUGAAUGUCUUCUCCCUAUUGAUGUCUCAAAAUGAAAAAAAAAAAGGGGGGGGGGCUGCUUUUGAAAGCAGAAAAUUGAAUUGUGGUACGGUUUAUUCACUUAGUAAUCUUGUUCCAAAAAUACAUAGCAUAUUGACAUGUGAUUUUGCAAUUUCUAAAUGUAUAUAGCAUAUUGACAUGUUAUUUUGCAAUUUCUAAAUUGUAGGAUUAUUCAUUUCUUGCUGAUGAAAAAAGCUUAACGCUCUGGAAGAGGAGGUUCGUUUUAAAUGCUUCUAUAAAUAUAAUCGCUCUUUCAAACUUUUUUUCGUCCUAUUUGAUUCCUUGUCAUGUUUGUACGGGUGAGUGGCAAGAAAUAUUUGCUUUAGUGCAAUUCAACUUAGUACCAGGCUUCAUGAUCCUAGGUACACGGCCUUUGGGCUGUUUCGAGAAAGAACAAUUUUGAUCUUCAUGUUUUAGAGUUGAAAGCACAGGACGCCGAGGAUAGACUGGAAGCUGUUACUUCAUAAGUUGGAAAGGUUAGCAUUUACAUUCGUUAAUUUUGUUUCUGUAUAGAGACUCUGCUUGUAAAUGAUGAGGGCUUCGUCUUUGUUUUUUUUUUUUUUGGGGUACUAUUAUAAUAUGAGGUGAACCCUAAACCCUGGGGUGUCAACAAGAGAGCAUCAAUCACUGCUCCAAGGGGAUGUUGGUGAGGGGUUUUUCUUGUUUGUCAUACACCAUGACCAUCUAAUGCUGAAUGACUAAGCAUUUCUUCAUAUUAUAACGUUAUAUAAUCUAUAAUAAACUUUAAUGCCUCGUUUAGUUAUCUAGUGUAUUAACACAAGGAAAAGCUUACUACAUAAGUAUUAAAGUAGUUUGUCAUAACAUAUAGUGUAUAUUUAAACUUGAAAUUAGAAAGAUAAGUAGAACUCUAGUAAAAAAUAGGACCUCUUCAAAAUAAGAAAAAAAAAUUCUUUCUCAUUGCUCAAAACAAGUUGUGCUAGUGGUUAAAAAUUACCAUCUGAAGUUAGUUAGUUUGUAACUCAUGUACUAAGACAUGAAGAAAUAAUAUUCCUACCGAACGUAGCAUAAGAGUUUCAUCAAUAACUGCAAGAAUGCUUUAAGCACCUAUUUGCUGCUGUUCCAAUUAUUGAAGUUUGUGUUGCCUCAUUUCUAGAUUUAAAUAUCCUUGUUGGGUUGGGAGAGGUUUUGUUGGGUUGGUCAUCAGGUAUUAUGCUUUAGGUACCAGUCACUGGCUCAACGCUAAGCUGUAUUUCUUUAAAUGGAAGAGAAAUAUUAUAUCCUCAUAUUCUUUCUAAGUUGUUAAUGAAAAUGACCAUAUUUUAUCAGAACUCUUUCUUGGUUAUUUGAACUUUCUUUUGAUUGUUGAUGUGUAAAAGGCUUGAAAACUUGUUUAUUCCCUAUUGGUUUUAUUAUCUCUUGAUAUAACUAAUAUUGAAAUAAUUUGUAUUUUACUCACUCAAAGUUCCAUUCCCUUGCAUUUAGAUGGCAGAAGUUGUUACAGAACAAUGGGUUCAAAUUCAACAUCUUGAGCAGGCACUUCAAAUUGCUAAAGUAUGGUCUUAGGCCCUAAUGAUAUCAGUUAUUUGUUAAACUCAGGGAAAUUUGAAAGAAAAUGAAGAUAAAGGUUUUUCUCAUUAUAAUUAUCCUUUAUUUGCAUCAUUUCUUUGUGUUACAGAUGAGGGCAUUGCAAGCUCAAAAGCAAAGGAAUAUGAGAUGCACAUUCUUGAAGGUAAGAUAAUAAGUUGACAGUCUUUCAGACCUCUUCUUUUCCUCAGUCUCUGUCCCUUUAAAUUACUGUAAAUUUUAUCUUUGUAUAUCAAAGCAUCAGCAACAGUUAUAACUUUUAUAGUUCCUUUUAGUUAAGGAAAAAAUACUUUGUCAUAUGCUCGUGUUUCAUGUUAGUCAUAAGAUAAUCUAAUCUUGUAUGUGAAUAGUUCAUAGAUGGCAUUUCUGGAAGACAUCUCCCGAAGCCGUUCAAGGCCUUGGAUUCUUAUUCAUUGGGAAAAGGACCUAUCAUAAGAUACUACGUGUCUUAAGCUCUGCAACAAUUGAAAAGAUUUUACUCAGCAAUUAGAAGGUUUCACCCUGAGGUAUGUUUGAUACUGCAUGACUUUCUAGAUUCUUGUCUGAAAAAUAAUGGUGUCACUCUUGAAGGUCUUCACAUGUCAAAACUUACUUGACAUUACCUUUGUGAAGUUUCCAUUAAAAAAAAGUGGUCAAGAAACAUUUGAAUUUCAGUAUUGCGCUUGCCUCUAUCAACACCUCUUCCACUCUCCUUAGCAAUUUGACACAGAAGACUGUAAGAUAUAAUGGCUUCAAGAUUGCAGAAUCUCUUUCUUUUACUAAGUUCUGAAACUUAUUAUGGAAACUUUUGGUCUUUUCCAGCCUAAAAAAUGGAAAAUCGGUGGGUUGAUUGGUCAUGUAAAUAAGACCGAGUAUUCGUGGAAUUAUAGUUCUAUCAGCCAAGAAGAGUAUAUUAUGAACCUUAAACUAUGUACCUACAUAGACUUUGAACCUUAAUUGGCCCGUUAUCAGAUGUGAAUGUUGCCUUGAAUGAUAUUAACCAUACUUAACUUUUAUUACCAAGGCACUGAAAUUGCUUGUAAGAGAAGGAUAAUAAUUGUCUUGCACUUUCAACUUGAAAUUCUCUGCGUACAAUCAUCUCUGUUGGAUGUAUGCAGACAUGAAUUCUGCAAUCUUGUGCUUUAGUUCAGAAUAUUAUUUAGUAACAAUUCAAUUUCCUCCAAUGCACAGAAUUUGGCCUGCUUUACAAUUGAAGGAGUUAAAUUAGCAGCAUGUUAAAUUUCUUCCAUCUGUCUCCUUUGUGCUCAUCAGAGGUUCCAGUUUACAAGUUAAUAUGCAUUAGUUUUAGAAAAUAUUGGCCAAGUACAAAGAAGUAUAUCCCUUCCCUAGGAACCUCUGGCUUUCCAAGAAAUAAAUGUUUUCUGUUUGUUUGCAGUUGCAAGCUUUCAUCAAAUAGGAGAUGCAAAGAAAUGAACUUACUGCUGCUUUUGUCAAUGAUGAACUGGUAUUCUUUCUGGUAUGUUCUUGAGUACCAGCUGCCAUCUUCUGUACAUGAAGAUUUACUUGAAUUGCUGGUAUAAUUCAUUUUAUGGUAUUUCAGGCUUCUGCUUUCAUUACCUUCCCUAUACUGGGUUCUUGGAUGCUGCUUUUAACAUAGUUCAGCUAGGUGAAGAAAUCUUCUUUUAGGGGGUAGUGUCUUACCCUGAAAUAGUAGGUGACAUCCAAGCUGUUGCACUUUGUUUUCUCUGAUCUCUUUUACAGAUUGGUUUUUGAUAUUAAAAGGUGAAAGAAGAGUUAGACACAUUACUGCGUACAGCACCGGGUCAUUUUGUUGCCAAUGAGUCAAUUUUACAUGGAAGUAUUCCAGGGUCCAGAUCAAUACAGUAUGAUAUUCAUUGACCCAAAUGUUGAUUUUUGAGGCUUAAGAUAUUUGCAUCUAUUUGUAGCCUAAUCAAAAUUGGAGUCGAUCAUUGAAUUGAUUGUGUACAAAGAUACGCAGACAUUUACACACUGGGAGCGUUUCACGUCCAUGACAAUUUUAGUCAUUUUCUUUAAAAAAAAAUGUUGGGAUUUGAAUUUUAAAUCUUUUUUUCUUAAAAAGUUGGUUUCGGUAACGCCGUUGAUGAAACUAAAGAACAGCCGUGGCAUCCAUGAGUGAAGAUUAACUAUUAAACAAAAACAAAUGAGGAAAGUGGUGAGGAGGAAUCCCAGAUUUUUGUUAAAAGAAAAAGGAAAACGUGAAUUCAUUCAUGAUUCAUCAUCUCUCUGUAGUCGGUCAUCAUGAAAUCAACGUAAAGAAAGGCAAAUGGCAGGCGAUAUGGCAAUUCCUUGAUGAAGGUAUUUCAAGCCUUGCAAAAAAACAAAAACUUCCUUUGUUUCUUUUUCUUUUUUUUGUCUCCUUCCGAAGUCACAAGGCUAAUCCAUAAUUGAGACUGAAAAAAGCAAAAAUGGAAGAGUCGACAUGGGAGCAAAAGCUCCAGGCUCUAACCCACAUCCUAACAAGCCCCACAACCUCACCGCCUCUCCACUCUCAACUCUUCAUCUCCACACAAAUACCAUGUUUCCUCAACUGGGAUUUCCCUCCAAUUCUCUGCAAUAAACCCAACUCCCAUACCUUCCCUUCUCUCCACCUGAAAUGGGGAAUCUCUCUUUUCCUCAGAAGGGUCUCAAGAUUGGGUGUCCCCGAAACUUCCUGGAGGUCCAAGUGCCCUUACUAUCAGCCCCCACCACUGAUUCUGGCCAAGGGAGUGGAUGAAGCACAAUGGGUCGAUGCGCAAAAGCGAGAGUAUGUUAGGAAGAGGCUGAGAAGGAAACGCCUAGAAAGCCAUGUCCACCCUUUAAUUCCGAUUUUGAUUCCCGAUUUAUUAUUGUUCUCCCUGCUCUGGUUCAAUCCAUUUCCUCUUAAUGAUUCCUGACAAUUUUCCUUGUCUCAGAAUUGUAUAAUAAUAAGUACAUAACUCUUAUGUCUUAUCACUUCUCUUGUCAACGUUGGAUCAUUUUAUUUACUUUGGUCGAUUUCGGAUUUCUUUCUCGGUAGCACUGUUGUUUGCCUUAUCAAAAUCUCUACUCUCAGAAAUUUUUCUUUCUUUUAUAGAAGAUGAUGAUGAUGAUGAUGAUGAUGAAAAGGGGCUUAAAUUGAGGCCCCAAGUAAAUUAAUUAGAAGCUACAACAUCAUAAAGCAAAAUCAGUAAUAAAGAGUUCUGAUUCACUUUGCUUAAUAUAGAAUUUACCUUUGCCAGUUAAGCCCGCCUGUAAUUUUGGUUAACGUCUAAACAUGCAUUUAUUUAUUUAUUUACAACUUACCUCAUUAAUUUUCUCCCCAUGUAUAACCCACCAAACUCCAACUGCACUACCUGAAACUCUUUAUUCGGUUUAGUUAAAUCUGGCCUCCACUUUACCACAACAUAGUGGGGCUGGCCAUCGCCUCCACUUUAUUCAAUACAUUCAGCUUCUAGAAUUCCAAAAACAAUACAUCAUGAUUUGUUUAUUAUGUUACUUUAAUUUUUUUUCCCCUUUUCGUCUAGUCUUGUUUUAUAUUAGCAGUGUUGAUCGUUGAUAAAGGUUGAAGUUUCGGAUUUUAAUGUUUGAGUUUAAGUUCUACCAUCUAUAAUUGCAAUACGGGUCUCUCUUACCUUGUGUAUAUGCGGUGUGUUUUAUCUAAUUAUUUUUAGAUUUUACUAUGUUUUUGUUCAGUUCUUCAUCUAUUAUGAAUUGCAUCAGUUGAAUUUUACGUUAUAAUUUAUUGAACAUAUAUUUAUUUUUGUCUUCUAAUUGUACAAUUUUUAUACCAGUGAAUUUUUUUAAAAAAAAUCAUGUGAUUAUGGAAUAUACGACAUAUAUUUAUGAAAUUUUAAGAAAAGAAAAAAAGAAAUGUUAAGUAUACACCAUUUUCAGUCACAUUAGAAUCCUGUUAAUACAUUAUUUCUACGGCUUCUACAUCACUAAACUGAUGAUCACAUUGGAUACUACCUUUUCUUUUCUUUUUGACUUAAUAGUAUUAAUGGUUUUCGAGUUUGGCAAACAUUUUUUUUCAAAAUUGGGUAGGAUUCGAUGGCCAGAUUGAUACAAUCUUUGUACGGCCGAAACGCUUCCCUACCGUUAAUCAAGCAACCAAACUUCACUUAAUCCAAGGAAAAGAAGAAAAGCAAAAAGUAAAAGCCAAAAGAAAAAUUAUUCAAUUGAUUGGUCAAACACUAACGUUGACAAUAAAGCUUCUUUUUUUUUUUAACUCUCUACCAUUGAUCUUUUAUUCCACCCCUUCCUUACAGCUUUUUGUUGUUGUUGUUUUCUAAAACAGAACCUCAUAAUAUCAGACAUAUUGGGACUCUGAAAAUUCAACCUUCAGGGAGAAAAAAUCCUUCUUGUUUCCAUUAUGUUUAUUUUGUUAUAGAUGGAGGCAUCGGUGCUUGAGUUGUGAAUGCAUAAGCAUGAACCAUAAAGUUCAAUCAAGAUAUGAGGAGAAUCUUCUUUUUCCUUUAUCUUUGCUUUUCUGUUUUUCCUUUGUUGAUGGCGCCAAACGUAGUCUUAAAGUAUAUUAGAUACAUCUGGUGACCAACAUUCAAUUAUAAUAAAGAGUAUAGAUAGAUACAUCAAUACUAUCCAGCCCUCUUUCAUGAUGAUGUUGCAAGUUUUGCACUCCACCCCCAUAUUAUUAUGAAGAGGAGAAAUUCCUGUUAGUUGAGCUUUAUUUUCUAAGAAAUGACUUCUAACAUUAAUAAAUUUGAAUCAUGAUAUAUUUAUAGCUAUUUCUCUUACUCUCUCGUAUUAUAGCUUUCUUUAUAUGCUAAAACAGGAGAUGAGUAGGAAGAAACAAUUUUUGUUAAAAGACGUGAAGUUGUCUUAAGAUUGACAAGGCAGUUAGAUGCAUUUAAAUUGGUAUUUAAGGAUAUGUCUGUAUAUAACUAGAACUAAUUAAGAUUACAAUACACUGCAAAAUGAUUCCACCUUUUUUUUUGGGGGGUUCUCUCUUUUAUAUGAUCAAAUACAAUGUUGAUAUGAACAAGGUUUUGCAGUUGUAGAAAAUCGUGGAGGACUUUUUUUUUUACAAAAAAGAAAGAUAAAAUUCAUAAAAAAUGUGAAGUUAAGCAUAUUUAGCGACGGGUGGGGUAUGGGGUGGUUUGCUAACAUGGAAUGCGCAUGGCAGAUUGGCACUUUAAAGAAGGGAUGGGGCCGAGGGGGCGGGAGUUGUUAAAUCCUCGGGGUAGAAAAAGGUAAGUAAGCGUGUCCCUGGCAUUAGACAAGGAGUAGAGGGGGCAGCACAUGCACAGCAUAACUAUAUCUCUUUAUUUUAUGUCCCACUCCACUCCCCCUCAUCUCUGCCGCAACAUUAAAUACCAUAUGCAUCCUUACUAUUCAUAAUGGUUUUUUGUUGGGUUGAUGUUACAAAAUUACAAUUUUACUAUAGAUGUAUUUAUAAUAUUUAAGAUUUUUUUAAGUAGGAGUUUAAUCUUUGGUGGUGAUGUUGAUUUUAGAUAUAUUCCCCACCCGCAAGUAGAUAUCAUACAUUCUAAUAUAAUUAAAAAUGGUAUAAUUAAAAUAUUUUUAAUAUUUUUAAUAUUAUUUUUAUAUUUUUGAAUUUUUAAAUUUUAAAAAAUUAAUUAAAUGUUGGUGCGUCAUCUACAUGUAUGCAACGGCGAAGCUUAAAAAAUAUUAAUUUUUUUCAUUCGUGAUUUGACAAAAAAAAGUAAGUUUAAAGGCUAAAAAAGCAUAAAUUUAAAUAAAUAGCUAAAAUAAUUUUUUUACAAAGUUAGAGAGCCAAAUAAAUUAUUAUUUUAUUUAAAAAUAUUUUUUUAAUAAAUUAUUAAUUUAGUCACAUAAUCUAAUAUAAUUUAAUUCAAACCCGUUGGUUCCAUCAACAAAUUGAUCUGCAUGAGACUUAAGGGUUAGAAUUUGGUGCGUAACUCUUUUUCCUCCUAAUUUUUACUUUUAAAAAGAAAUUGCAAUACAAUUUUUUUAUUAUAGAAUUCUCCAAUUUUUAUUUAUUUAUUUGAUCAGGAAGCUUUAUUGACACUGCUUUUAUUUUUCCAUCAAUCCAAUUUAAGAGACAAUUCACUUUUUAUAAUUAACAAAAAACAAAAAGAAAAUAAAAGAAAUUACUUUUUCCUUUUUCGUGUUCGAUACAAGAUAGAUGAAAUAUGGAAAAUAAAAUGCAAUGAAAAUAUAUUAUUAGUGAUAUAUCACCUCCAUUAUGUAGGGGAAAGAAAUAAAAAUAAUAUUAAUUUAUGAUACUUUCAUAAUGUGGUUAAAAAUAAUUAUCUAGUAUUUUUUUGUAAAAAAAAAGGAAAGUUGAUAUCUAUGCUACUAAUGAAGUUUCUUAGUGAGUUUGUUACUAAUCAUAUUCGAAUUUUAAAAAUUGUGAAUUUUUAAAAAAUAAGUUAUUUAUAUAACUAGUAAUAUACUAUUUUGACUCUUUUUUUAUCCGAGUUAAUGUUAGUUAUCUCGUGAUACCAAUUCAAUAAAACACUUUAUUUAUAUUAAAUUAAUAUAGGUGAGAAGUAAAAUUAUUUAACAAAUAUAUUCUUAAAAAUACUAAAGGAGGUUUUGGUUGAAUAGCAAAAUAUAAAUAUUACAAAUUAUAAAGAUGUAGGUUCAAUAUUUUUACUAUUUUUCUAUAUAAAAUGAUAACCUUAUAAAAGUAGUUUGUGGUUGAUGGACUAAUUUUUUAAAAAGAAUUAAUAUUAGUAAAGAUAUAUAUGGUACUAAACAUAAGGAAAUAGGGGAAAACGUAUCAUAUUUGUAGUGGGAGAAUGGGAUCAUUACAAGGAAAAAUGAAAUAUAUAUCAUUAACAACAAACAUAAAAGAAAGCGUCUUUUGAUAAAGUUGUUAUUGGUGUAAUGUGAAGGGACCACAAUCAUCACCAUUCACCACUUGCUCCUAAUUGAGUUGAAAUCUUUUUACAACAUAGAAAACUAGAACAUCUCCCUUUCUUGCUUCCUAUAUAUAGAUUUUGUAUCAUCGCAAUUCCACAUCACACACGCAAGCAAAGCAAAGCAUUAGCAACCAUAGCCAUGGCUUCCUCACCAAAACUCUUCUCUAUGUCUAUCCUCUUCCUUUUUGCCCUCUUCUCCAUGCAAAUCCAUGCUAGAGAGUACUUCAGCAAAUUCCCAAGAGUUAACACCAAUGAGAAAGAGACAACAACCAGAGAGCAAGAGCACGAGACCUUCGUUCCCCAGACCACCCAAAAGCCAGAAGAGCAAGAGCCAAGGUUCAUCCCUGAAACCCAAAAUGGUUAUGGCCUUUACGGCCACGAGUCAGGCUCAGGCUCAAGCCGGCCCAGUUUCACCACCAAAGAAACCUAUGAACCCUAUGUCACCCCUGUUAGAUUCCACCCUGAUGAACCCUAUAACAGCAUCCCCGAAUCCUCCAACAAUAAAGACACUUACUACUACAACAAGAAUGCCUACAAGUCCACUAAGCAGCAAAACUUGGGCGAGGCCAUUUUCACCGAGAAAGGAUGGAGCACCAAGGAAAACCAGAACAACAACUACUACAACGGCAACAUUAAUGGCGAGAAGCAAGGCAUGAGCGAUACUAGGUACUUGGAGAAUGGAAAGUACUACUAUGACGUCAAGAGUGAGAACAGCUAUUAUCCAAACCAGCUCGACAACUCAAGAGGAGUUG
rnacentral:lncRNA from 1 species